rnacentral:lncRNA from 7 species
CUCUCUAUUUGGAGUGUAGCAGUGGGUGAUACAUUUGCCUGCUGUCUGAGCUUAGUUCUCAAAGCUGGGAGCGGAGUUCACUUUGCCUCUGGAGCAGGACGUAACCCGGUCUCACACGAGGCACUGAAUGUCUACCACGGACUCGUCCGGUUUAGGUUUUUUAGCAGUGUAUCUGGAGGAUAGAAAUCUUCCAGUUUUUUAGCAGCUUUGAGGAGUAAGCAGUUUCCCCCCAGCGUGAUUAAAAACAUCAGAAGAAUGCUGCAUCAUAAAGCGAAGGAUGGAGACAUACUCGGUGGUUAACACAUACUAAUUGGUUGCCAAUGGACUUCCAAAAUUUCCGUGCCCAAGUAUCUUGAGGUGUGGUUCCAAAGCUGUGGACAUCUGGAAUCCUGUGGUCCCCUCCUGGAGUUUGGCUGAUGUUUGAAAAUGGAAGCAAGGAGAAGGCUAUCUCCAGGACUGGAUUCUGAUCGGAUUCACGGCUUUUCCUAGAGCCAUAGGAAGGAGUUAAGAGAAAGCAAGCGCUUGCUGGUAUUCUGUUCCUUUGUCUCCUGCUCUGUGCUGCCAGAGGUGCAACCUGUGAGUGAGCUGCUCGGAGUCAGUACCAGCCUGAUGCCUGCAUGUCAAAGCUAGCGCUCAAAUCGCUUACCCAUUCCUACCGAGUAUGGGAGGAGAAAGCAGCCUCCACGAUUGCUGGCAGAUAGCCACAUUUCUGGGUGAACUCACUACCUUUUAUUCCAAAGUAAACACUCUUUUUGAAGAGGUGAGGCUCCUCGGAGUGGCAUUCCUUUUGGCUCACUGAAGAGGCAUGUAGUUGAGCUCCAAAUAGGCGGCUGAUGCAGAUACAGCACGGGCUGGGUAUUCUCAGCGUAGCCCUGCUGCCCUAAGAGCUCUUCCAGAAGUACUAUUUUCCUCUCAGCCUUGCAGAAAGAGAAGCAAAAGGGAUUUGUUUAGGGUGUUAUCCAGUAUGGAGGUUUAACCUCUUGGAGUUGUUGCAGAAUGACAGAAAUGUGCAAAUAAAACCCAUUAGAUUUUGUUAUGGGAACCCCUUCUUCCUCAGUUUUCUUUCUGAGAAUAUUUAAGAUGGUGUGGUGUGUUGUAAGAACAUCCAGCAAAACGGGAAACCUUAAGCACAUUUUUCAGCUAUUUGUUUCUGUGAAAAUUUAGUUUAUUGUUUUUAGCAUGGAACAAGUGUCCUUAUGCCAAGAAAUAAGCGCAUCUGACUAACAUAUUUUGAAUUUGAAAGCUUUCAAGAAACUGCUCAAGAAAUUAUUUGAUGUGUUCAUAGACAGUUUGAAAUGGAAAGGAUUCCUGAAUGCAUGGAAUAGAUUAUUCAUUAGCCAUUACUCACCUACCCUGUUUCUAUUAGGUAACUGUUGGUCUUUCACAUUCAAGCUCUGGAUUUAUUAGGAAGACCUGGCAAGCUUCCUUGCCAAAUGUGGCAAAUGAAGCUAAUGGCAUUGCCUGUUUUCAGGUUUGUUUUCCAGAGUACAUAAAUACCGUUGGAUUUAGAGUCAUUAUUGAGGUAAACAUCUGUGCUGCUGUUAAAUACAAUUGUGGCACCAGAGAAAUACUUUAUGCUUAAGUGCUGGCCAUCUGUGGAUUUGAGGUUUCGUGUAUUUUUGUUAUUAUUUUUAGUUCAUUUUGCUUUAGAGCGUGGGCUUGCUGAGUGCUAACUCUUGACGUAUGAACAGCUGCACGGUUGGAUUUUGUCUGCUCUACGUAUAUGCACAACCCUAGUGGAUAUUCUUUUUGUUUUGUUUUUGUUUUGAUGUAUUUUUUGUCCAAAUAAAUACUCAGUAUCUGGGCAAGUAUCCAUAGUGAAGCUGGACUCUAUAUAUUUUGUGCUUUUUCUUAGUGCAACAGCUGAUAGCCAGAGUGUUGGGUGAGUGGGAGUAUUUGGUUGUUAGGCUCCAGCUAGAAUAGUUCAUAGAAGCCAACACCAUUAUGCAACAGUUGCAGUGAAUGUGAAGAGAGUACCACUGCCAUGGCUGCUAGCAGGACAAAAUGAGGGGCAAGAAGAUAAAAUCAGGAGUGUAGAGGUGCGUCUUCUCAUUUUGCUCCAAGACCUGGUUGAUCACUGCAGCCUCAGUUGCAUUAUUUUGGAAGAGCCUGAUGUCAUAAAAGACUUCAGAGUCCAUCUGCUUCAGGAACUAAACCUCAGGAUUUUAUGGCUGCUCAGUGUGUCAGUAAUGUCACUCUCAUUGACAUUUUUAUGUGAUUCUUUAUCUUCUACUUUUCUAACUGAACAUUUUAAUGGACUCUUGGAUUUGAAGGAUGGGGAAUGAGCAGAUCCUAAAAAACAUGAAAAUAUGCAUGCCUAGAGCAUUAAAGAGUAUUUUACCUGUGAGGCCCCUCAUCCAUUAGUGAUGGACAGGAGAUAGAGGGAUAGAGAUUAAGAUCAUAAUAGCAGUCAGGAAGAACUGUUUUGUAAACCACAUAAAAUUGGGCAUCAGGAAAGUAGCAAGAAACUGUGGCUUGUUCUUUGAAGCUACAAGUUGCAGUUGUAAAAGUUUAUAUUUGUUAUUAAUUUCAUACACUUGACUUUCAUGUGAUGAGCCUUCGAAAGGAAAUUUCAUUGUAUUUGUUGGAUGGAUGUCGUUAAGAAAAUUGUUCUUCUUGUGUUGAAAGCAUCAGUGAGCAUCCCUGAAUGGAAUGUGUUUCUGCUUUAUUAAAAGGGUUUCUGU